CAGAGUACAGUCCCUGGGAUUAUGCAGAAAGCCUCCCAAGACAGAGUGCAUGCUUUUCAUUAUCACCAUCAUCAUAAGCAACAAAUUAAUGGUGCUUUACGGCAUAGCAAAAAGUAAAUCAAAAGCAAAAGAGCCAGGCCCUGUCUUGAGGAGUGUACAAUCUUAAUUUCAACAGUGAAAGAGACAACAGAAGGAAGGAAGGAAGGAAGGAAGGAAGGAAAAGAAAUCAGAGAAAAAACAGGUGUUUAUAUGGAGGUUCCUGUGCACUGCAGCAUGGAAAGUCCUAUGGGGAUCAAGGAGUUAAAGAAGAAAGCAGUACUGGAAUGAGGCAUGUCCCUUUGAAGAGCAAAGUACCUGCUUCCCUUUGCCUUUGUGCACGUGAAUGCAGCCCAACAUUUCUGUGCUUUGGAAGAAAGCUGUGUGAACAAGCAGUGCUGAGGACAGCACUGAAGCAGUCCAUGGGAAGUGAGAGCAGCAGGAGAUAUGGAAUCAUUCAGGCAACAACAGUCAAGAAAGAAAAAGAAAAAGCCAAGCAGGGGCUGCCAGCUAGUGAAGCAAGCAUGGAGAAGCAAAGAGGAUUAAGGAAUCUCAGGAUGAGUGCCCAACCAAAAAGACAGGCUGUAGAGUUGGGGCAGAGAAUGUGUGCAAGCAACAUGCUGGGAGCAUCCAAUACAGACAGAGAAUCAUUGUGAGGUAAUCACAUCUUCAUGGUGGAAAGAUUCAAACAAACAAUACUGUACUGAAAAAAAUAGAAAACGUUGCAAGUGAAUACUGUUCUCCUGUAUAUUGGGGAAUUUCCAAAAAUGAGAAAGUCAGCUAAAUGGAGUGGCUAAAUGUAGCUAUCUGGAAGGUACACAUAGAUUAUGAACCAGAUUGUUCAGCCGGUGAGUUUCAAAUACCAAGGCUUUUCCU